rnacentral:lncRNA from 1 species
ACACAUCUAAUAUAAACCGUUCUUAACUCUUUAAUUGUACCAAGCACUGGGUGGGUGGAGAAAGUGAAUGCUGCCGAGGCCUCCACAACUCUGUCCCAGGAGUGUCCCACAUUUAUUUGCGGGGGUUGCAGUUGGUCCCGCCCCAGUUGUGCCAUCCAAUCCCUGGCUGCCAGCGCAAUCCUUAACCCCUGCCGUCAUUCUCCCAGGCUCCCUCACAGCCUGCCAUGUGGGUGCCACCAUUACGGAGCUGCAGGGGAGCUUGGGAGGCAGGGCUAUCACUCUGGGCACAACGCGGGACCCAGCUGGUCAAGUGCAGCCCACAGAUUCGCCACAGCUUCGUAUGCUUACAGCAAUCCCUCUAUUUAAAAGGGGCCUCCAGGACAUGAAGUGACUGACUAACUGAAGGACGACCCACACCCCCUUGAGUCUCACCAGCCCCUAAGACUGGCGUUGGAAGCCCUGCUCUCGACAAACCUCCUUGUUUUUCUCUCGUUUGGGGUUGCAAACACAAGGUAUUGAAAGAACCUGAACAUGUGACAGCCAUGGCUAUUGGCCUUUGUUCAGCUUUCUGAAUCAAAAGGAGCAUUAAAUCUGCCUUACGUUCAAGGCGUAAGCUUAAAUGGGAGGGAUAUGAGUUGUCUUCAGACAGAUUUGCAAGAACAAACCAAACCAGGGAUAUUUGUGCAUUUCUGAGGAGACUACAGAGUCACAAACACAGGGGAGUGGCAUGUCCUCAGAUCCCUCAUAUUAAAUCCCACAUUCACACAUCAUAAUCAGAAGUGAAAAAAGAAAAAGGAAAAUACAGAAAAACAAAGAAGAGUAUGUUUUAGAAAUGAAACAUCCUUGCCUUCCCUGCUGGAAAGUCAUUGAUUAACACAACAAAGUCUUGUGGCUGCAACACCGCUAGUAUCAGAGGCAGGGAUCAAGAAGGGUGGAGGGUGAGACAAAACAUGGGAAGUGUACAAGCACAGGCUUCCUGUAUCACCCCUUUAAGGAGUAAUCAAAGACAACAGUGACUAUUUCCAUUGUAAAGUCCCUCAGUUACUCUCUAACCUGUGACUGCCUUAGGAUAUAAAUUUAGCCUUUCUCCUAGCAGCCAGAAAAAGGGGGAAAAUAAAGCUAAAAUACAGUGCUUACCUCUAUGGGCU